rnacentral:lncRNA from 1 species
AUUCCCCUCACGUGUGGCCUUAAAGAGUUCUAUAUUCUUUUGCUAAGUCAGACUUGGCUUUUACCAGUUUGUUAGCGAUUUCAGCUAAAAUUUUCUUACUCGUAUCUGACAGUGUCUGCCUCAGAGCUCUGUCCAGUUGCUCCAAGCUUUACUGGUUGCACUCUAGGUCUGCUGCACAUCUACACGGAUAUCACCUGGAGAGGUGGAUUCAAAUUUCUGUUUGGCUUUACAUGCUUUUAGAUCACUUAUUCUGGAGAACCCCAGAUGCUCAGUCAUGAAGACACUUAUCCAGAGUCCUGUGUGGUGAGGAACUGAGGCGUUCAUCCAGUGAGGAAUUGAGGAUUCCUACUAACAGCCAUGUGAGUGAACUUGAAAGUGAGUGAAUCCUCCAACUUCUCAAUCAGUCCUUCAGAUGACUGCAGUCCUGGCUGACAUCUUGCCUGUAACCUCAUGAAAGACCUUGAGCUACACUCGCCCAGCUAAGCUUCUCCAAAAUUCCUGAGUCAAAGAAACUGUAAGAUAAUAAAUGUUUGUUAUUUUAAGCCACCAAGUUUGCAGUUAACUUGUUAUGCAAAAAUGCAUAACUUAUACAAAUAAGGAAGUUAAUCCUAGACAUCUCAGGUAUAUGAAUUUAUUAAAAACAGGAAGAAAGAACUUGAAUUA